rnacentral:rRNA from 1 species
UUAGGAAUAUUGCUCAAUGGGAGAAAUCCUGAAGCAGCAACGCCGCGUGGAGGAUGAAGGGUCUAUGACUUGUAAACUCCUGUAAAGAAGGAAAAAAUUCCCAUUUGAUGGGAGAUGAUGGUACUUCUGGAGUAAGCCCCGGCUAACUACGUGCCAGCAGCCGCGGUAAUACGUAGGGGGCAAGCGUUGUCCGGAUUUACUGGGUGUAAAGGGUGCUCAGGCGGAUUUGUAAGUCAGAGGUGAAAUCUUACAGCUUAACUGUGAAACUGCCUUUGAUACUGCAAGCCUAGAGUAUGGAAGAGAGUGAUGGAAUAUCUGGUGUAGCAGUGAAAUGCGUAGAUAUCAGAUAGAACACCAAUGGCGAAGGCAGUCACUUGGUCCAUUACUGACGCUAGAGCACGAAAGCGUGGGUAGCAAACA